rnacentral:rRNA from 1 species
UACGGGGGGGGCAAGCGUUGUUCGGAAUUACUGGGCGUAAAGGGCUCGUAGGUGGCCAACUAAGUCAGACGUGAAAUCCCUCGGCUUAACCGGGGAACUGCGUCUGAUACUGGAUGGCUUGAGAUUGGGAGAGGGAUGCGGAAUUCCAGGUGUAGCGGUGAAAUGCGUAGAUAUCUGGAGGAACACCGGUGGCGAAGGCGGGUCUCUGGGCAGUAACUGACGCUGAGGAGCGAAAGCGUGGGGAGCGAACAGG